CUCAACCGAGGUAAGCCUUUAAAACUGUUAGGCUUGAGUGCAGGAGAGGAGAGUGGAAUUCCUAGUGUAGCGGUGAAAUGCGUAGAUAUUGGGAGGAACACCAGUGGCGAAGGCGACUCUCUGGACUGCAACUGACGCUGAGGCACGAAAGCGUGGGGAGCGAACAGGAUUAGAUACCCUGGUAGUCCACGCCGUAAACGAUGAGUACUAGGUGUUGGGGUCGACAGGCUUCAGUGCCGCAGUUAACACAUUAAGUACUCCGCCUGGGGAGUACGGUCGCAAGACUGAAACUCAAAGGAAUUGACGGGGGCCCGCACAAGCAGCGGAGCAUGUGGUUUAAUUCGAAGCAACGCGAAGAACCUUACCAGGGCUUGACAUCCCUCAGACCGGUAUAGAGAUAUACCUUUCCCUUCGGGGACUGA
rnacentral:rRNA from 1 species